CUCAGAGGGAACGUUCGGGAAUGGCCAGGGGGUUCAAUCAAAGCUGGUCUGCUCAGCCCCCCUUCUCUGAAGCAGAUCCUGAAAUGGAGACGCUUGUUGGAGUGCUUCCUGGGAUCCUACUGCUGCUGCUAAUCAUGGGGGCGUCCAUGGGAGCGCAGUGGCUGGCGGGGGAGACUGCGGAAGGAGAAGGAGCCGCCAGCCGCUCAGCCCCCCCGGGAACACCCGCCUCGGCCGGGCCCUGACGCUGGAGGUGGCCUCGGAGCAAGAACGCGGUGUUCCGAGCCGUCCGAGGUCGCACGGCGGGGUUGGUAGUAGCUGCCUGUUACUGAUCAUUGCUGGUUCGCCUCCCCGUCCCGCCUGUCUUUUCUGCCCUCCUCGCACUUCUGUGACUAGUCCUUGACGAGUCAUCAGACCGGUUAAGAAAGGUCAGAAAUCACUAAUUCCUUAGACUGCUUUGUUCCGCUUGAAGGCCAUCGGUCCUGGGAGGCCCCCGUUCUCCAUUAAGUGCUCAAGUGUGUGUACUCAUCAGGAAGAAAUGGAACAGAGAGGCCAUCACUCAGAUUCAGCAAUGACCUGACAACAUGGGCCGUGCACACAAUCCAUUCCAAAUACCAAUAAACACGUAAUUAUGGCAUCGGAGGCCGGCAGGACUCAGCCAGCUUGGGUGGAGACUGCAGUUCUAAGCCAUCUCCAGAAACACAUGGGAAGGCUGAAGCCUCUGUGUUUUGAACUUCAAGGCUGCCACAUACUGAACAGUCAUUUCCAUGUGGAUGUGCCACAGCAUUAGAAUUGUUUGGAAAUAUGCAUUGGAUACUUACUCUUCAGGCAGCUCCUCUCCAGUGCCACUGCCUCUAUCUCAGGGCUCUUCCCUUCUGGUCUGGACCCCUCCCCGCUUCCUGCUGGGUCUCCUGCUGCCAGAAUACCCCUCGUCUCCCCCAGGUCCCUCCAAGCCACCCUACACGGCAUCGUGAGAACCGCCCGUCCCAAAUGCUUAGCCGGCCGAGUCACUCACCCACCUGAUGCCCUGGAAUAACUCCCCAUUGCUCACAGGAUAAUUUCCUGAUUCUUUAGCACAGCGCUCAAGGUUACUGCAUGGUCUGCCCCCUGACUACCCCCCUCGGUCGACAUGAACCAUUCCCUCUCAACGUGGGCUUUAAACACAACUUUUCUCAUGUUUCUGCCACUGCACCUGCUCAGCUACCCCUCCGUAUCUUGGCUCAUGCUCCUCCUCCCUCCUAGAAUACUCUUUCUUUUCUUUUCCUUCUGGGGCUACCUCCUCCCUCCCUCCCCCCUCCCCCACUCAAUUUUAAGAUAAAAUAUUUGGUAUCUAAGAGAUGUCUCGUCCUACUGAGCUUAAGAAACGAAGUAUCCCGAUGCAGUCAAACCUCUCUGUACUUCCCAAUCCCACAGCUCUUCCUCCCUUCCCCCCAGGUAGCCGCUAUUUUGAGUUCAGGGUUUUAUCAUUUCUUUAAGGAUCUGUAUACAUUCACGUGCGUGCUCAUCCCUAAGCCAGACACGCUGUUGCUGAGAAUGUUUUAAGACCUCGUAUAACUCUACUCCUGAAACCAGUGCUACACUCUCUGUCAGCUAACUUGAAUUUAAAAAAAUAAAUAAAUACAAACCCUUAUAUAGAUGAUGUCAUAUUCUAUGUAUUCUCCAGCAACUUGCAACUUUUGCCUACUCUCGUGUUUUUGAGAGGUUCCGUGUUGUAAGCCUUAGUCAAUUCACUCUCAGUCCUGUCCGAUGUGCCGGUGUAUGUGAAGGCGUGUAUGUGUUUACAUCGGUUCUCUUAUUGAGGGCAUUCAAGUUGCUUCUAAUUUCUCUUCUUCCUUCCCUCCCUCCCUUUCUUCCUUCUUUUCCUCUCUCCCUCUCUUUCUCUCUCUCUUCUCUCACAAACCUUACUGCUGUGAACACCAUCCACAUAUCUCCUUAUGCAUAUGGGCAAGAGCUCUUCAAGGGUACCAUGAUCAUGCAGAAAUGGAACUGAAAAUCAGAGGGCAAGUAAAAUUUUCAAUUGUACUAGGUGUUGUCAAAUAAUUUGCCGGAACGGUUGGAGUCGUUUAUGUGGCUCAUCAGUGGCCCAUAAAGAAAAUCCCCUUCAGUCUACAUGGUUGCCUCAACUCUCUAACAACACAUUUAAAAGAUUUGGGGACAAUCUCGUUAUGCUUGUGAUUUGGCAUUCCCUGAUUAUAAGUGGACUGUCAUGUUUCCCAUUGUGUGAAACGUCUGGGUAACUUUUGCUCGUAUUUCUUUUAUUCUUCUAAGGAUUUUUGUAAAUGAUUGGAAAAAAAUCAAAAAUAUAUUUUGGAUAAGAAUCUGUUUUGGGUUAUAUAUAUUGCUAAUAUCUUUUCCCUGUUUGUGGUUUGUCUUUUUCUGCUUAUGGUAUCUUUGAUUAGCAGGAAUGUUUCAAGUUUUGUCGAAUUAUUCUAUUUUUUUCUCCUAGUGUUUCUGCUUAUGUCUUUUUUCCUCCAUGUAAUCUGAGGCAAGGAUCAGAUUUCUUUCCACCUGGAUAACCAAUUCCCGAGCGCCAUUUAUCAGUCAACCCUUUCUUUACUUUAUGCCAACUUUUCCAGUUGAAUAAAAGCAGUGAUCAUAGACA